rnacentral:rRNA from 1 species
UACAGAGGGUGCGAGCGUUGUUCGGAAUUAUUGGGCGUAAAGGGCGCGUAGGCGGUGCGGUAAGUCACCUGUGAAAUCUCCUGGCUCAACUGGGAGCUUGCAGGCGAAACUGCCGUGCUGGAGUGUGGGAGAGGUGCGUGGAAUUCCGGGUGUAGUGGUGGAAUGCGUAGAGAUCCGGAGGAACACCAGCGGCGAAGGCGGCAUCCUGGACUGGUACUGACGCUCAGGAGCGAAAGCGUGGGGAGCGAUCCGG